AUAUCUUUCUGUACGGGAAGGAUGAGAAGCUUCGACUAAGGUUCGAUUCGAGCGCAGCGAGAAAGCGUUGCCGUAGGCAACGACCCGAAGGGCGAAGCGCGCAGCGCUGAGUAAUCCUUCCCCCACCACCA
rnacentral:sRNA from 5 species